rnacentral:rRNA from 1 species
AGCAGCCGCGGUAAUUCCAGCUCCAAUAGCGUAUAUUAAAGUUGUUGCAGUUAAAAAGCUCGUAGUUGAAUUUCGGGGUUAGUAGGUUGGUCAUGCCUCUGGUAUGUACUGGUCUCACUGAUUCCUCCUUCCUGAUGAGCCGUAAUGCCAUUAAUUUGGUGUGGCGGGGAAUCAGGACUGUUACUUUGAAAAAUUAGAGUGUUUAAAGCAGGCUCGCGCUUGAAUACAUUAGCACGGAAUAAUGAAAUAGGACGUUCGAUCCUAUUUUGUUGGUUUCUAGGAUUGACGUAAUGAUUAAUAGGGAUAGUUGGGGGCAUUAGUAUUCAAUUGUCAGAGGUGAAAUUCUUGGAUUUAUUGAAGACUAACUACUGCGAAAGCAUUUGCCGAGGAUGUUUUCAUUAAUCAAGAACGAAAGUUAGGGGAUCGAAGACGAUCAGAUACCGUCGUAGUCUUAACCAUAAACUAUGCCGACUAGGGAUCGGAUGAUGUUAAUUUUUAAUGA